rnacentral:lncRNA from 1 species
UCCAGACUCACGUCACUUCCUUUCACCCCUCAUGAGGAAGGGGCAUACCUCUCCUUUCUCCUAAUGCAAGCGACGGUCCCCUUCCUUCCGGGACCAGGGGCCAAAGUGCGGUGGGGCUGGGAUGGAGUGUUGUGGGUUGCUAGUAUGCAUCCCCCCACCGACCUCUGCGCUGCACCUCUCUCCUGGUGUUGGACUUGCAGAUUGUUGGAGCGGACUCUGCCUCUCUCCCCAGGUUAAUGUUUUUACUCA